rnacentral:rRNA from 1 species
ACGACUCUCGACAACGGAUAUCCCGGCUCUCGCAUCGAUGAAGAACGUAGCGAAAUGCGAUACUUGGUGUGAAUUGCAGAAUCCCGUGAACCAUCGAGUCUUUGAACGCAAGUUGCGCCCGAAGCCAUUAGGCCGAGGGCACGUCUGCCUGGGUGUCACG